rnacentral:lncRNA from 1 species
GAGGGUCACACAUCUUGGAAAAAACUCCAAGGUUUUUCAUCAUCGCAGAAUCCCUUACACUGAAAUUUAAUGACCAAGCAAAAUGGCAGUUUAUUUCUAAUCAGGAGAGAUUGUUCUUUUCUCCUUUCCACUUCUUCAUCCCUCCCCGAUCACAGAGAGGAAAAGAAUGGCCCUUCUCUGCUCCUGACUCAGAAUGCACAUCAGCCAAAGUCAGAAGGACAAACCCUCCUCCAGAGCGACUGUCCCCACCUCUGCUGCAAGCCCACUUCUGGUGGCAAUUCAUUGGCCGCCUCCUACACACCAUUUCCCGGACAAAUUCCACCUGGAAGAGUUCAGGGAUAGAAAAAGGUUGCUCCUCUUAAAGAACCAACGCAAUGCUUAUGAUUAGCCAAGGAGGGCUGUGUAAUUUAGACAGUUUCUCUCUUUGCCUGGCUGCUGGAAAGCCCAGAGCUGGAAACUGGACUUCUUUUUCUUGGCAGGGUGGGGGGCUGGGGGGG